UACGUAGGGGGCAAGCGUUGUCCGGAUUUACUGGGCGUAAAGAGCGUGUAGGCGGCCACGCAGGUCCGUUGUGAAAACUGGAGGCUCAACCUCCAGCUGUCGACGGAAACCGUGUGGCUAGAGUCCGGGAGAGGGGGGUGGAAUUCCCAGUGUAGCGGUGAAAUGCGUAGAUAUUGGGAGGAACACCGGUGGCGAAGGCGGCCCCCUGGACCGGUACUGACGCUGAGGCGCGAAAGCGUGGGUAGCAAACGGG
rnacentral:rRNA from 1 species